UGAGAACACACUUUGGAAGCCGAGUAGGGGCCUGGUGUUCAGUCUUCUUUGGGGCCAGGCUUGCUUUUUUGUCCCCUGGUAGAGGGAACUGGACUUACAUGCUUUUACUUGCACACCCGAGAUAUGCAGUCUGCUAUUCUUGGCACUUCCUAUAUUCCUUUACUACCUCAUUGACCUGCAGCUACUUCCGGGGUCUGCUGGGGAUUGCAUUUUUUCGUCUAUAGAACACAACAAGCCAGAGAGAGUCCGGAGCUUCUCGUACAGACCCAGAGUUGCAGUUCUAUACGGGAUUCUGAAAGCUGCUGUCUAAGGAUGGACACAGAGCAGAGUGGGAAAAUGGAAAUGGAUCACACCAGCGUAAACAACGGAACAGAAGCUAAAGCCGUUCACCCCAGGACUUACGUUAGCUCCUACAACAGGGACCCCUGGUUUUAAGUCAUCAUUCUACAAUUUUUAACAUGGGAAAUCUGAAUGUUUCUUCCUGGCAUGUGUGUCAGGUCCGACAGAUGGUCUGUUGAUGUAGGUUCAUGUUGACCAGGACCUCAUGUGUUUGGACCCACUGGGUUCACCGGAGAGUUUCUCACAGAAUCCUGGCCUAUGUCUGCGUUGCAGUUUCUCUGUCUUUGUGGUGCAUAUCCUGUUGAUUCUAUUUAUAAUGGCAGAAUAAUAAAGUAUCUGUGGAUUACACUCAUGCUAUUGAUAUGUACUAGAUACCUUGGCCAAGAUAAUAAUAAGUCAGGCAAAGCCAAGUAUAUUUUAGCUUUUAAACAAGGAUAUGUCUUUACUACCUGUGCUAAUGAAUCCUGUCUUCCAGGAUUAAGAGGAUAGGGGGAUGCAUGGGAAAUUAUUUUUGAAGGAAAAUAGAAUGCUAUCUAGAGUGUAGAAAGCAACCAUAGACAUUAUUAAAGGACCAGCAUUUCGACACAAGCCCUAUAAAAGCCUUGUGCGUGAUCGGUUGCUUGUUAUUAGUUUUUAGCCUUUGCAGUCUGUGGGGACUUUGCUGGCGUGGGUUUCUCGUUUAGUGGAGUGCAGCCAGCUGCAUUGUGCACUGUUCUAUGGAGACAUUGUGCUUCAUUCCUAUUUACCUCAUCCUUGUGGGCAAACAUCUGCUUUUCUGUCUUGUUAGAACAGCAGCUGGAUUUCUGGAAUUCUUUGGCUGUCUGGUAUUUUCUUCUGCAUAUUAAUAUGAUUACAUUGCACGCAGGGUUCUCUCUUUCCUUUCAAGAUAAAUAUCUCCCUAAUACUGCAGGAUCAUAAAAGUUACACAGGUUUGUUGUGAAAUAGUUAAGCUAUGGAAAAAAAA